rnacentral:rRNA from 1 species
UACGAAGGGUGCAAGCGUUACUCGGAAUUACUGGGCGUAAAGCGUGCGUAGGUGGUUUGUUAAGUCUGUUGUGAAAGCCCCGGGCUCAACCUGGGAAUGGCAAUGGAUACUGGCAGGCUAGAGUGCGGUAGAGGGUAGUGGAAUUCCCGGUGUAGCGGUGAAAUGCGUAGAGAUCGGGAGGAACACCAGUGGCGAAGGCGGCUACCUGGACCAGCACUGACACUGAGGCACGAAAGCGCGGGGAGCAAACAGG